UACAGAGGUCUCAAGCGUUGUUCGGAUUCAUUGGGCGUAAAGGGUGCGUAGGUGGUUGGGUAAGUCAAAUGUGAAAUCCCGGAGCUCAACUCCGGAACUGCAUUCGAUACUGCCCGGCUCGAGGAUUGGAGAGGAGACUGGAAUUCACGGUGUAGCAGUGAAAUGCGUAGAGAUCGUGAGGAACACCCGUGGCGAAGGCGGGUCUCUGGACAAUUCCUGACACUGAGUCACGAAGGCCAGGGGAGCUAACGGG
rnacentral:rRNA from 1 species